GAUGAACGCUAGCUACAGGCUUAACACAUGCAAGUCGAGGGGAAACGAUAUUGGAAGCUUGCUUCCGAUAGGCGUCGACCGGCGCACGGGUGAGUAACGCGUAUCCAACCUGCCCAUCACUUGGGGAUAACCUUGCGAAAGUAAGACUAAUACCCAAUGACGUCUCUAGAAGACAUCUGAAAGAGAUUAAAGAUUUAUCGGUGAUGGAUGGGGAUGCGUCUGAUUAGCUUGUUGGCGGGGUAACGGCCCACCAAGGCGACGAUCAGUAGGGGUUCUGAGAGGAAGGUCCCCCACAUUGGAACUGAGACACGGUCCAAACUCCCACGGGAGGCAGCAGUGAGGAAUAUUGGUCAAUGGACGAGAGUCUGAACCAGCCAAGUAGCGUGCAGGAUGACGGCCCUAUGGGUUGUAAACUGCUUUUAUAAGGGAAUAAAGUGAGAGUCGUGACUCCUUUUGCAUGUACCUUAUGAAUAAGGACCGGCUAAUUCCGUGCCAGCCGCCGCAGUAA
rnacentral:rRNA from 1 species